UGGUAGUGAUGGUGGUGGUGGUAGUAAUGAUGAUGGUAGUGAUAGCAGUUUAGUGGUGGUGGUGGUGGUGGUAGUAGUAAUGAUGAUGGUAGUGAUAGCAGUUUAGUGGUGGUGGUGGUGGUGGUGGUAGUAGUAAUGAUGAUGGUAGUGAUAGCAGUUUAGUGUGGUGGUGGUGGUAGUAGUAAUGAUGAUGGUAGUGAUAGCAGUUUAGUGAUGGUGGUGGUGGUGGUGGUAGUAAUGAUGAUGGUAGUGAU
ensembl:lncRNA